rnacentral:pre_miRNA from 1 species
UCUUUGGUUAUCUAGCUGUAUGAGUGAAACAGACGUCAUAAAGCUAGGUUACCAAAGUU